UCUGUCCCUGAAAGGCCAGAACAAACUGCCCCCUAGGGUAACACUAAGUGCUACUGUCAUUUGAGACAGACGUGUGCACAGACAGCCCUAGCUCACAGGAUUGCAGGUCCUCAGCGGAUAAAUGAACUGGCUGUUCGCUGGGUGCUGGGAAGAUGCUUUGGAGCCACCCAUAGAUGGACCUGCAUGGGGACUUGCUUUUCCAGGAGAGAUGAUUGAUUCACCAUGCUGACCUGACCACUCACCCACAUGGUCUUCCUAGUGUUCAGAUGGGGUAUCUGAAGGUUCAGAAACAGACCAAAGAAAAUGCUGUGCACAUGGAGUGAACGCAUGGUGGCUCAGACCUGUAAUCCCAGCACUUUGGGAGGCCAAGGCGAGAGGAUCACUUGAGCUCAGGAGUUCGAGACCAGCCUGGGGGAGGAAAAAAGACUCAGAGAGGUUAAAUAACCGACCCAAGGCACACAGCUGUUUCUCAGGGGAGCCCGGAUUCAAAUCCAGGGACUCGGAUCCUAGAGCCUGUGCUUUCACCCACUGCACUGCACCAUAUGUGUACCAGGAUGGUAGAAUCAGAGGUCUGGAUUCCAGCACUUUCCUGCCAGAGGCUAUGCUGGGUGUGCCGAGCACCACCCUGAGGGGGAAGCAGUAACUCAGUAACUACACCCCCGAGGAAGAGGCAGUCCCCAGUCAGCGGGAGCAAUGGGAGCUGCUGAUGACAAAAUAAGCCACAGAAUGAAUGGCUCUGCUCCACCGGCCUUCUCUCCUCCCUGCCCCCUU
rnacentral:antisense_RNA from 1 species